CGGACGUAUGGAAAAUUCUAUCCGUAAGGGCAGACUUGGCAAAAAGGAAGGCAUUAGUUCAUAAUUUCUCCACAUCAGACGUAUGGAAAAUUCCAUCCGUAAGCUUAUGGAGAAAAAUACAAUAUUAUGUCUAAUUUUUAUCCAGCACUUAUGCAAGUGGUACAAAUAAUAGACUCGCAUAGCGUAUUUUACCACUAAAAAUCAGGCUUGGUUCCAUCAAGAGAAGAUAGUAUCUAAGUGUGCCAUCAAGGAAAGUACUAUUCAAGUCCGAUUGUACCCUAUCUUGCCAUUUAAAGUAAACUGGUAAAAACUAAUUUUGGAUAAAUAAAAUGUGACCACAGUUAACAAUUACUGCUUUGGACUAAUGUUGCCUUAUUUGAUUGAUAUUUUGCCAUUUUUGUGAGGGAUGGUCAGAUUUCAGUACAUUUCAAACAAAUGUUUCCACAAAAAUUAUUUUAAAGCGAUCAUUUUUUACCAAAACUUAAUGGUCUCUAUGUAUUGUACAAGAUGCAACACGUGCCUCACGAAAAGCUCAAUAUGACCGAUAUGCUUGGGGAUCGAUAUUUUUUGGAUGGAAAAAUAGCAAAAAAAUAUAAUUGGAAUUACUGAGACAUUGUUGACUUUGUUUACAUGAUAAAAUUGUUUACACGAUAAUCUUAGAUCAGGCGCGUAGGCGUAAUGUUUACUUGACAAUAUGGCGAAAAAAUAGGCCCGUAGAUAUACAUGUAGCUACUGCAGGCAUGUAUUUGCAACUGUAAUGUUAUCAUACAUUUCUAGGUUAUUUCUUAUUAUAAUCAUACUAUAAAAUGUAUAGAUGAACGGUAUAAGACUCGUUCAUCUAUACAUCAUCUAUACAAAAAAGAAAAAAGAAAGAAAAAAAAUUCAGUGGGGGAGGAUUCGAACACAUGACUUUACGCAACCUACGGAAUCAAAUGCAACGACCUUAAACACGCACGCGCGCUAUAAAAGGGAGGAACCCUGGUUUCCUCCGAAAAAUCUGUCAAUCAAAUCAGUUGAGUCUAGACCUCAAAGCGUGCGGACGUGUCUUACGGGGCUCCCGACAAACCAGAAAAUGAGUCGGGCUACACUGCAAAUCUUCCAAGUGCACAAAGUUUGAAGCCCGAGUUCCGAGCUUGCAUCUCCUCAAACCACUUCUCCUACUACCAGCUCUCCACUACCAGUACACAUGUUAAUAUUUGUUUAUUGUAAAUACCUGGAGUAGGCAUGAUCAAGUGUGCUUUACAUGCACAGACUAAUCUAUGCAGUUAACAAUAGAAACACAAUAGAAAAGAAUGUGAGUAAGUAUGUGACCACUGUACCUGAAGAUUUCCCCCAAAUAAACUGUAAUCCAAUGAAAUAAAAGAAUGAAAACCAUUAA